rnacentral:lncRNA from 1 species
GAUUAAUUCCCAGCGUACACAUGGCGGAGCUUGGAAUUGCGCUGGCAACACAGUUAAGCAACCUCCACGGCCCUCACUGUUUACAACUUGUCCGGUUCUGAUCUAUACUCCUAUUCAUUAGAACCGAAUCUACUAAAUCUGACUAAAAUAUGCAAUUUAUGAUUUUCAGCGGAAGCAAGGAUGCCUCUGCUAACCGCGAGCUAUAUGUACGCACGGUGAUGGUGAUGGACAAUGCAACUCGAGGAUAGAUGGUCCACUCUUGACCAGCGGUUCAGUGCAUUGACAACGAGUUUGGAGUAGCUUAUUACAAGAACUAGAGAGUCACAAAAUUCAACCGAACUCCACUUGAUUAGCUACUAAUCCGUGGUGGUAUACACAUGCCAGGACAAAGAGGGAUGCAAAGCGCCACUCAACCCUCUAACUGCGCUUGCAUUGCUAUGGGUAUUAGGUGAGUGAUUCCUUAGUAAACUCAACUCAAAUGGUCAUUUGCUGCACCAAUGUACAAUUGCAAUCGUGCCUGCAUCCACAACAGAAUGACAAUUUACUCUGAUCACGCCGACGCUUCCAAAGGAACCAGCUAAACUAUUGACAAUGCGAGGAAAUCCACUUAAACAAGUCCUUGACAGUUCCCCGCAUGUAGCCACGAGCUCAAAGAGUUUUCUCUACUUCAAAACAUCCAACACACGGCCUAUAAACUUGAUGCAAUUGCAACGAGUGGCUGCAGACCUCAAAUUGCAAUGAGUCCAGAAUUCAAUGAAGGCAACCGAUCGAGAAUCCAGUGUGCAUGUGACGUAUUGAGCAAGGACUGAAUUUGGUGUUGAUCCAGCUGCCACCUGGUUGCCGAACCAUAAGCCUCGUUGCAAUGCCAUAGACACAAGAGAGAAGAAAAAACAACAAAAUUAAAUUUUGUCGAUUACUACUAGUAGUCAACAACAACUAGUACAAGGGAUUGCAUUGCACCACAGCGAAGAGCUCUAAACGAGCUGCCGUAACUAUAUGAGAAUCCACCAAUCUUCCACAACAAGACAAAAUCAACUGCACAACUCGAUAACUGACGGUAGCACAGCACUGCGUUGAUAAACACUUGAGACCAGCCAAGAUGAUG